GGGCCAGGGACUGAACCUGUGCCAUAGCAUGACUUGAGCCACUGCAGUGACUAUGCUAGACCUUAACCUUCUGAGCCGCAAGAGAACUCCCAAUAAAAUGUUUUAAAAUUACGGCUUAUGCAUUUUUAAGACAAUGCUACUGCGCACUUAAUAUGGUGUAAAAGUAACUUUCAGAUGCACUGGGAAGCCAACAAAUUUGUGACCCACCUUAAUGCUUUAUUGUGAUGGUCUGAACACGACCUGCAGUAUUUCCAAGGUAGGCCUGUCUUUUCUCUUAUGUAGAUGUAUAUAUAUAACACACACACACAUUCUAACAAACUACAUGUAGGACUGCACUAACGCAUGGAAAUGUGACCAUGUAAUAAUGCAGAGUGAAAAAAUGGGAUCUGAUCUCCGUAGUGAUUUGAGAAGUCAUUCUCGGAACACUUGACAUCUUCAUGUUGUUUCCCCCGCUUCUUUCGGCAAUAAAUGGAUUAAUAGACUGGGACUCUUAAUCAAGUUAUGCUGAGUUUGCAUACCUUUCCCAGAAUUAUCAAGAGAACAGUAAUAGCUGUCUAAUUCCUGGUUAGGAGUGUCUAUUUCUAGGAAAGGCAGAGAGAAACUGACCUCUUGGCAUUCUUUAAUGAAUUAAGAGAACAAUGAUUUCAUUUCAUCAAGUAGCAAAUAUUUACACCACCAUUUUAAGGUUCAGGUUAAGGAGAAAAACAAACUACAGAAUAGUACCAUGGUCAGUGGGAGAAUCCCUGUGCCUGAUACCACCCCAAAGACCCCUCUCUUUUGGAGUCCGGGAUAUUGGGGUGGUGGUGGGGGGAACCAAAACCCCACCAUCAGCAGAGAACUGGAAGGAGAAGAGAAUGUCUGAAUUUAUUAUUGUCUUGGAUGGGGAACCAAGGGAAAAUAGAAACCUUUUUGCUGUGUUUACAUUUCGGUGUUCUAAAGCACCAUGCUAGUAGCACUUAAAUAACAUUAAAAAAGGAAUUAGGGAAGACCUAGGCCAGAGCGGAGUUAUUCUGACAGGCUCUAGUCUAAGUCCUAUGUUUAUAUGGAUUGUAACAAAAGAAUCAAUAUAUGAAAAAAAAAGACUAUUUUAAAUGAGAUCAAAGGUGUAACUUGGGGCUCUCUCUAUUUCUGAAGUCAUUCAAAUGCAUAAUUAUUGUAUGCAUAAAUAUUUUAAAAUGCCAUUUUUCCAGAUUAUGAAAGGAUUACACACAAAAAUGCCUCUUCUUUUUCCUUAGCUCCAAUAAUGUAUUAAGUUUAGUUCCAAAGUCCUAGGACAAAGCAAUGAAAACUUUCGGACUAAGUCUGAUAGCUAUCAGUUAUUAAAAAAAUCUGUAUAAGCUAACAAAUAUAGUGCAUCUUUUUUUUUUUGUCUUUUUGCUAUUUCUUGGGCCGCUCCCGCGGCAUAUGGAGGUUCCCAGGCUAGGGGUCCAAUCGGAGCUGUAGCCACUGGCCUACACCAGAGCCACAGCAACGCGGGAUCCGAGCCGCGUCUGCAUCUGCAACCUACACCUCAGCUCACGGCAACGCCGGAUCGUUAACCCACUGAGCAAGGGCAGGGACGGAACCUUCAACCUCAUGGUUCCUAGUCGGAUUCGUUAACCACUGCGCCAUGACAGGAACUCCUGCAUCUUUGAUUUUAGCUGGCAUCAUUAAGUUGGUGGAAUGAUGCUGAGUAUCACUGUAGACAUUUUAACAACUAUAUGCCUUGGAUAUAAUUGUCACAUGAGAGCAGUACCUGGUAGGUACAGCCAUUCCAAACACGCAGCCCCUCGAAGGAAAAGGCCAACCAAAGUGACCACUAUCAAUUCCACAAGCUCUCACGAGAAUGAGCAGUUGCUCCAGAUCAUCUAGGUUUGUUACAUCAGAGGAGCAAGAAUGAAUCAAUUCAAAAUGCUAUGUUCCUACAUACGGUCCCUACAAUCACAGAUUAAAGACUGCCGACCAAUCUCAACGCUUAAAGAUCAUUCCGCAAAGUGGCAAACACUGAACAGAAGACUCAGACAAGUUUGAUAGAUUUUAAGUUUACAAAAUGCAAUGAGUUGGGAGUUGCCCUUACGGCCCAGUGGGUUAAGGAUCUGGUCUUCUUUCUGCAGCAGCUUGGGUCACUGCUGAGGUGCAGGUUUGAUCCCUGGCCCGAGAACUUCCAUAUGUGGUGGGUGCAGCCAAAAAAAAAAAAAAAAAAAAGAAAAACACCUCUCUAAAAAUGUAAUGAGUUGAUCAUUUUCAAUUAGUUAGCACCCCCAACUUGAAAAAUCAUGGUUUGCUGAGGUCCUUUUGUAGAGUUGGCCAUUCCUGUCUCAGUAAUUGAACAAUCACCCUACAUGCCGUCACCAGCCAAAAUACACACACACACACACCACACAGUCGGAGAGAGCAUCUGAAGACACUCCCUUUGGGCAACUUCAUCAAUGAUAGCAAAUUCAACGAAUUUGUCAGUUUGUCAUCAUAAAAGCCAACUUUAAGAGCCUUUUAAACUAGACGGCUUUCAAUGUAGUCUAUGAUUUCCUUGAGACGAGGUCUGAAGUAUACAGACAUGAAUUUUUGUCUGAACUCAUUGUCAGAUUCUCAAAAGAUCACCGAGUCAUGAGAAAACUUGUUUGCAGUGCAGUGCUUCUCACAUAUUUGACGUGUGCUGAUCUUCCAUAAACCAAAAUCUUAUGCAGUUACUUCAAAUUUGUAGCUGUUAAGUACCAAG
rnacentral:lncRNA from 1 species